rnacentral:rRNA from 1 species
GACGAACGCUGGCGGCGUGCUUAACACAUGCAAGUCGAGGGCACUUUGGGGGCAACUCUGGAGUGACCGGCGAACGGGUGCGUAACACGUGAGCGACCUUGCCUCGUGGUGGGGGAUAGCCGGCCCAACGGCCGGGUAAUACCGCAUAUGGUGCUUCUCUCGCAUGGGAGAGGUAGCAAAGCUGAGUCGCAAGACUUGGCGCCACGAGGGGGGC